CUUCCGUAGGGUGAACCUGCGGAAGGAUCAUUAUCGAUGGCCGCGCCGUGAGCGCCCUGGUGCAGGAUCGGCCGGCCACUGACCACACCCUUACUUUACGAGCACCUUUCGUUCUCCUUCGGCGGGGCAACCCGCCGCUGGAACCUCAUCAAACCCUUUUUUGCAUCUAGCAUUACCUGUUCUGAUAAAAAACAAUCGUAACAACUUUCAACAAUGGAUCUCUUGGCUCUGGCAUCGAUGAAGAACGCAGCGAAAUGCGAUAAGUAGUGUGAAUUGCAGAAUUCAGUGAAUCAUCGAAUCUUUGAACGCACAUUGCGCCCCUUGGUAUUCCAUGGGGCAUGCCUGUUCGAGCGUCAUCUACACCCUCAAGCUCUGCUUGGUGUUGGGCGUCUGUCCCGCCUCUGCGCGCGGACUCGCCCCAAAGGCAUUGGCAGCGGUCCACGGCCCCUCUCGCGCAGCACAUUGCGCUUCUCGAGGCGGCCCGGCCCGCAUCCACGAAGCCCACAUUACCGUCUUUGACCUCGGAUCAGGUAGGGAUACCCGCUGAACUUAAGCAUAUCAAUAAGGCGGAGGAA
rnacentral:rRNA from 1 species